UGGGGAAUAUUGCACAAUGGGCGAAAGCCUGAUGCAGCGACGCCGCGUGCGGGAUGAAGGCCUUCGGGUUGUAAACCGCUUUUGAUUGGGAGCAAGCGAGAGUGAGUGUACCUUUCGAAUAAGCACCGGCUAACUACGUGCCAGCAGCCGCGGUAAUACGUAGGGUGCAAGCGUUAUCCGGAAUUAUUGGGCGUAAAGAGCUCGUAGGCGGUUUGUCGCGUCUGGUGUGAAAGUCCAUCGCUUAACGGUGGAUCUGCGCCGGGUACGGGCAGGCUAGAGUGCGACAGGGGAGACUGGAAUUCCCGGUGUAACGGUGGAAUGUGUAGAUAUCGGGAAGAACACCAAUGGCGAAGGCAGGUCUCUGGGUCGUCACUGACGCUGAGGAGCGAAAGCGUGGGGA
rnacentral:rRNA from 1 species